rnacentral:lncRNA from 1 species
AUGGGUGUAAACCCCCAGAUCUUCCCCAGUGCUGAGGUUCUGGACACUGGCUGGGCCCCUGGGGAUCUGGCUAUCUGCUCCCAGCACAGGCUAUCCAUAUGUUUCAGCACUCAGACCUCUGGAGGAAUUGGCCCUCUGCUGACCAAGGUGAUGGCCGUCACUCAGGGCCUUGAGGGGAGCCCAAGGAACUGGGGGAUAUUCACUUCAGGCUCAGAGGCAGUAGAAUUCAGAAACCCAGAGCUCCUGAGAGCUUGUCAAUGGCCUCUGGCAGAAAAGGCAUCUUCCCCCACAGAGUCCCCAGCGCCAUAUUUAAAUGUCCCUGAGCGUCUGCUCGGUAUGUUAUGUUCAUGGGCAUUAGGAACCAGCAUGUGACAGAGCGUCUGUGAACUGAAGAAAUGCUACAAAGAGCGAGUUCUUCUCUAUAAAGAGGUUUGGCUUUGCCUUCCUCAGAGCCCCCCACUACCACCAUAGGUGUCCCUGUGUCGGUCACCUCCUGAUUGUCGGCAUCUCCUGAUUCCAGAAAGCAUGCAGCUGGGUCUCCCUUGGCCACGUGCUUUCCAAGCUGAAAAAUCUGCAAGGAAGUGGGAAAGCGGAGUUCUUCCCCAAGUCGUAAUGUCUUUAUUGAUCUGGUCACAUAAAUUAUUUUUUUUUAAUUCACCAGAAAUAAACUUGUAAAGGACUGAACCCGUGUGAAAGUCUCAUGGGAAUGGGAGGAACAUGGACGAGAGGAAGAGGAGACUGUGUCUUUAUCAUGUGAGAGAAACUCCCCUUUGAGCACUAGCUCUAUAGUCACCAGCUUGUGUUAGAGGAGGGGAGAGAGAGAGUGAGUGAGUGAGUGAGUAAGUGUGUGUGUGAGAGAGAGAGAGAGAGACCGAGGCAAAGCCACAGGGAACCACUGAAUUCCAUACAGCAUUGUUGACUCUGGAGGAAAUUCAAAUAAGAAAUAGACCCUAAGUAGAAAGAUGCUAUUAUCUUCCUCUUAAAGAAGCAGGGCCCCAGACAAGGAGCUCAGGCCGUGGGACCACACACAUCCCCUGAUGCGAAGGUUGCAUAGCUUGAUGCACUGUGCAGAUGUUCUUCUGCGAACCUGACUCGGAGCCUGACCCCGGAAGGAUCAUUUUACCUUCAACAGCCGAGGCAGAAAGGCAGCCUCCAGAGAUUGUGACCCCUCCUUCCUGUAGAGAGUGGGCACACAGGUUGUUUGGCCAGAGUCCUUGUUUGGGGGAACCAGACUUGGGGAAACUGUGCGGCAUUUCUAGUCUGUGAGAGGGUAAUGUCAAAAAAUCACCAUAGCGACGGAGAGAGUGUCACCACUAUGUCUGACAGCUAAGAGGAUUUUCCCUCUUAAAAUGGUGAUUUAGAAUCACUAAGCCCA